UUCCAGACUCCUACGGGAGGCAGCAGUGGGGAAUAUUGCACAAUGGGGGAAACCCUGAUGCAGCGACGCCGCGUGAGUGAAGAAGUAUUUCGGUAUGUAAAGCUCUAUCAGCAGGGAAGAAAAUGACGGUACCUGAUUAAGAAGCCCCGGCUAACUACGUGCCAGCAGCCGCGGUAAUACGUAGGGGGCAAGCGUUAUCCGGAUUUACUGGGUGUAAAGGGAGCGUAGACGGUGAUGCAAGUCAGAAGUGAAAGCCCGGGGCUCAACUCCGGGACUGCUUUUGAAACUGUGUAACUGGAGUGCAGGAGAGGUAAGCGGAAUUCCUGGUGUAGCGGUGAAAUGCGUAGAUAUCAGGAGGAACACCAGUGGCGAAGGCGGCUUACUGGACUGUAACUGACGUUGAGGCUCGAAAGCGUGGGGAGCAAACAGGAUUAGAUACCCGCGUAAG
rnacentral:rRNA from 1 species